rnacentral:rRNA from 1 species
AGGCAAAUCCGCUUUGAUAAUGCUGGGAUGUGAUGGGGAGCGAAAUUUAGUAGCGAAGUAGCUGAUUUCACACUGUCAAGAAAAGUCUCUAUCGAGGUUAAAGGUACCCGUACCGCAAACCGACACAGGUGGGUGAGGAGAGUAUCCUAAGGCCAGCGAGAGAACUGUUGUUAAGGAACUCGGCAAAAUGACCCCGUAACUUAGGGAUAAGGGGUGCCACCAUCAGGUGGCCGCAGAGAAUAGGCCCAAGCGACUGUUUACCAAAAACAUAGGUUUCUGCUAAGUCGCAAGACGAUGUAUAGGAGCUGACGCCUGCCCGGUGCUGGAAGGUUAAGGGGAUCUGUUAGAGCAAUCGAAGCAGUGAACUUAAGCCCCAGUAAACGGCGGCCGUAACUAUAACGGUCCUAAGGUAGCGAAAUUCCUUGUCGGGUAAGUUCCGACCCGCACGAAAGGCGUAACGAUUUGGGCACUGUCUCAACAACAGACUCGGUGAAAUUGUAAUUCCGGUGAAGAUGCCGGAUACCUGCGACAGGACGGAAAGACCCCAUGGAGCUUUACUGUAGCUUGACAUUGGGUCUUGGUACUACAUGUACAGGAUAGGUGGGAGGCUUUGAAACCAGGACGCCAGUUUUGGCGGAGCCAUCCUUGGGAUACCACCCUUGUAGUACUGGGACUCUAACCAUAGGCCAUGAAUCUGGUCUUGGGACACUGUCAGGUGGGCAGUUUGACUGGGGCGGUCGCCUCCCAAAAGGUAACGGAGGCGCUCAAAGGUUCUCUCAGUACGGUCGGAAAUCGUACGUAGAGUGUAAAGGCAAAAGAGAGCUUGAUUGCAAGACAUACAGGUCGAGCAAGGAUGAAAAUCGGACUUAGUGAUCCGGUGGUUCUGCGUGGAAGGGCCAUCGCUCAACGGAUAAAAGCUACCCUGGGGAUAACAGGCUUAUCUCCCCCAAGAGUCCACAUCGACGGGGAGGUUUGGCACCUCGAUGUCGGCUCAUCACAUCCUGGGGCUGUAGUAGGUCCCAAGGGUUGGGCUGUUCGCCCAUUAAAGUGGUACGCGAGCUGGGUUCAGAACGUCGUGAGACAGUUCGGUCCCUAUCCGUCGCAGGCGUAGGAAAUUUGAGAAGACCUGUCCUUAGUACGAGAGGACCGGGAUGGACGUACCUCUGGUGUACCAGUUGUUCUGCCAAGGGCAUGGCUGGGUAGCUAUGUACGGAAUGGAUAAGCGCUGAAAGCAUCUAAGCGCGAAGCCAACUUCAAGAUAAGAUUUCCCACCGCAAGGGUAAGACCCCAGAAAGACUAUCUGGUUGAUAGGUCGAAGGUGUAAGUGCAGCAAUGUAUUUAGCUUAUCGAUACUAAUAGGUCGAGGACUUGACCAA